GGCGUUAAAGUAGAAAACAUCCAUCACACGACUUAAACUUAGGUCUCUGCAGGGCACAAUGUAUUGCUAUUCUCCAUAAAUCUAAAUAUUAUCUCGCUAACGGUUCGUUAUCUUGUCUUGUCUUUGUGGCUGUGUGUGUUUCAAAUGUUAAUUUGUUCCAGCAAAACUCUUCAAAGGUACCCAUUUCUGAAAUCUGUUGGGGAGGGUGGAGUUUAAGUCGUCAUGGAUACAGAGUGAGAAGAAAGGAGUUUGUCAAACUUGGGAAAGACAAUUUCCUCCUAUCGCCUCAAAAAUCCACUGCAUAAAGCAAGAAUUCUUAAGGGUCAGGCCAGCCCUUACCUUCCCUGAGAAAGAAGGGCACCGUGGGCUCUCAGAAGUUAUGCCCCAGAGGUUAUUACCGCGCCUCUGCCUGGCGUUGGGGGGGGAGGGGGGUGAAAGGAAACAGUUGACAUUUCCGGUCACACUAAGGCUCUCUGGCCUGGGGCCCUGGGCACUAGCUCCCCCUGCCGGCGGGCUGCCAGAGACCAUAUAAACCGAGAUCGGGCCUCCACGCUGCCCGCUCUCUUCUCCCGCGUCAUGAAGCUGAGCAGCCUCUUUGCGCUCACUGUGGUCCUCCUGGUCCUCUGCCUCCACGCGGCGCAGCCUCGUUUGCUGAAGGUAACGAAACCGGGAGAGUGCCCCGAAUUUUCACUUUCCUGCCCCUUCGUCCUCUUACCUCUGUGCCGGCGCGAUAGAGGCUGCAAGGGCGUCAGGAAGUGUUGUUUCUACAACUGUAGGCGUCGAUGCAUGGAGCCCUUGGGGAGUUUGGAGUGAGGUGAGAAGCGCCCCGUCUCCCCGCUUUGAUCUAGGUGUCCCAGAGCGCGUGGAGAACCCUCAGUGCCCUUAGAAAUCAUUGAGGUCAGAACUUUUAAACUAGGAUCUGCCCUGAAAUCUGCCUCUAGGACAGUAAAGAGAGAGGCCCAACAGACGUCCUUCCUCAGAAACCGCGCCCUUCGUUCCAUGUGAUGGGCAGCGCUCUCCCGUGAAUGAUGGGGACAGUUGGAGGAGGUUAUCUCUGGGCUCCUCAACUGUUGCUGAAUUUUUCUUAUGACAAUUUUCAAUGGCCAUUGCUUCUCUUACAUCUUGUAAGAGUGAAUCGCUUUCCUCUUCACAUUUAAAUUGUCAGGUAGAAACCCCUUCUGAACCAACCCCGAGAAGACACUGAUAGAGCAGGCUCAGAUUGGAUAACUGAUUUCUGGUUCUUCCAUGCUCUCCUCAUCCCCGUCUUCCUUUUAUCCAGAGUUAAAUGCUUAUUAAUAUGAAAACAACACAAAGAAAUAAAGUGUUAUAUAUUUAAAACUACAUGAAAAUCUACGACUGCUGGGUCUCCCCCCCCCACCCCCUUCUCUGUCCUCAGCCUCGAGGGGCAUCCUUUAGGAUUUGUAAAAAAGGAUGGGGUUACUGUUUCACAUUUAGUUUUGAUCAGUUCCUGCACUUCUGUUUUUCUGAUAUGUUUCUCUCUUUCAAUGUCUCCUGACACUCAGAUCCCAGGGGCAUUUUUGAGUCAUGUUUUCUGUGUUGGAUCGUCUGAGAGGUGUAUGUUGUCCUGGGAUAAGGAGGCAAGGCUUUUUGCCACAUGGUCUCUGGCCCCGCUGCUGGUGGCCUUUCUGCUUGUUGGAAUAGUGUGAUCCAGGACUAGAUUUGGGACUUUGGGUUGGCAGUGGAGCAGAACGUGCCUUAGUUCUAGGCUACUUUAAGGUCUAAAAUCUUAGGCCUUCAUAACUCAGGAAAAGGAAGUCUUGUCCACAGCCCAGUUUAGCUACCUUGAGUCUUAGUUCGGGAGCUGAGCCUCUAAGCUACCUACUCGUGAAGCGUUAGCCUUGCACUUUCUCGCUUUCUGCUGUUUGGUUCGGUCUUGCUGAGGGAUCACACAGGGCUUUUAGGUCUGGAGAGUAGUCUUCCAAAAAUUUAUUUUUCCUUGACACAUACAGCUUAAACAAAUUUUUGAAAAACUAUUUAUUCCCUAGGAUGUUUUCAGGUGACAUAUAAUAUUUUUCAUCAUCAUCUACAUAGUUACAAGUGAUAACAUUGUAGGUGUAGGAUGAACAUUGUCAUUUAAAUAAAAAUGGGAGCCUCACUCUUUUUAAUGUUUCUAAUGGAAUCUAAUUAUUAUCUUCAUUGGAUAGUAAUUUCUAUUAGGAAAAAACAUGUUCUUUCUUCUCUGAAUUUUCUUCUGCCUCCCCACUUGCUUUCCCUUCAUUGCCUGCACAGUUCAAACCAAAACAAAUAGGUGAAUGGGUUAGUUUGGUUCCUCUGAAAAGCAGAUGUCAAGACAAGAGUAGGGAAUCAAGGGCUUAUUGGGGAAAAUGCGUGUGAGGGAUAAAGGGGAGAUAGCCAGAGGAGACAAGGAGAACCAUCAGACUGUGAUGCAGGGCUCCCGUGAAGGAGGGGAGGAGGAUGCUCAGAAUACAGUAUGAUUAAGAAAGUGUCAGCCUGGCUGAAAGGGAGUGAUUGAAUUAAAGUCACCCCUCAGAGCAAUCCCCGUCUCCCAGAAUGGGUCAGAGAGGGAAGGAUUCCUGGCUAGCUUGUGGGUGAUCCCCUCUUCCUUUCCUAGGGCAGGAGCUCAAUCAGGUCCUUCAGUGGGCAUCCCAGGAAAGGGAGCCCUGACAAAUAGGGACCAAGUCCUCUGUGAGAGCUUCACCUGACAGUACGUCCGGACCACCCGACAUUGUCCUUGGACUAACCAGCUCUGUCUGCCGCAUUCGCCCUCUCUGUUCCGCUUUGUCUCCCUCCCUUUCUCUCCAUCUCCUUUGUUCUCUCUUUCUUCAUCUCCUUCCCUCUCUGUAUCUAUCUGGUCUCUUUUCAUUUCUGGUACAUUUUAAUUUUUAUUACUGUAUUUUAUACAUUAUAAAAUAUUACUGUAUUUUAUUACAGUAUUCUGCUAUCUCUCUCUCUUUCUCUGUCUGUGUGUCCUUCUGUCUCUGACUCUCAUUUUUGUCAUAAUGGUUUCAUGUGUUUGUUUUUAUUUUCUCCUCUCUCUGUUUCUGUCAUUCUUUGUCUCUGUGUGUCUUUGUCUUUCCUUGGGCCAGAAACACAAGAAUGUAAACCCUACAUACACGUUCCCUCAGGAGCCAGGGACUUCUCAUUGCCUACUUAUCAGGCGUCCUUAGCACUCUCCCCCGCCCGUCUCUGGAUCAUGACUGCUCUCCCACAGCCCUCCUUUUGGUUUCUGGGGACUCCUUUCACUUCCUGGGAAGAUAGUCUAGAGCCUUUGUUAAUUCCACCUACCUUCUUGUCCGUCUCAUCUAUAACCCCCUGUUGCUGCCAGAUCUGUCAGCUGUUGCUGUGCCAGAAUGACCAGCAGAGCUCAGAGCAGUGGCAGUGCUGUCCCAGUGCUUGUUGCAGGAAGUCCAGGAGUCCUGCAAACGUUCUAAAUGUGGGUAAGAGGGUCCUGUCUGCCAGGAAGGGGCAAAGACUGAAACUGAGGACAGGAAGUAUCGGGGUGCUGGUGGGGGCUCCCUCUGAAUCUGGUUAGGGACAAGGCCCAGCUAGGUCCCUGCUACUGCCAACUUUGUGAAUCUUAUUGGUCACUUGAUCAGUUUGUGGAACCAACAGUCAGCCUCACUGUAGGUCAGCCACCAGUCAGGCCACCAGGGGGCCCACUGGGUUAAAGGAAUCCGGUCUUCCUUCAUGAGAUCCUCAGGCCUCAGUUUGAGGACCAGGGGCAGGGGAGAGGGGUUGGCGUCUAUGGAGAGGGUAAGGCUGGGCUGUGGUCCUGGACAGCAGGAGGGUCUCAAGCUCUGGACCUGCUCUCUCCAGUUCAGGUGAAGUCUGAGAAGUGUUCAGUGAAGAAAGGCACUUGUAAGAUGCCCAACCCUUCAAACUAUUGCAAAAAUGAUGCUCAUGCCGAAUGGAUAAAGAAGAUGUGGUACAAAUAUACAAUGGAAUACUACUCAGCUGCAAAACAGAACAAAAUCAUCCCAUUUGCAAUAACAUGGAUGGACCUUGAGGGAAUUAUGUUAAGUGAAAUAAGCCAGCGAGAGAAAGAUAAUCUGUGUAUGACUCCACUCAUAUGAGGAAUUUAAAAUUAUGGACUAAGAACAGUUUAGUGGAUACCAGGGGAAAGGUGGGGUGGGGGGUGGGCACAAAGGGUGAAGUGGUGCACCUACAACAUGACUGACAAACAUUAAUGUACAACUGAAAUUUCACAAGUUUGUAACCUAUCAAUAACUCAAUAAAAAAAAAAGUACCACCA
ensembl:lncRNA